ACCUCAAAUAACCUCAAGUUUGCCUAUGA
rnacentral:sRNA from 1 species